AAAGAAUUAAUUUAUUAAAAAUAUUAAUAUGUCAUAUUAAAAUUAUUAGAAUACAGUUUCUAAUAUUCUUUU
rnacentral:tRNA from 1 species